rnacentral:lncRNA from 1 species
UCGAUGUUUCAAUUAGAGAGGAGAUGGGUUAGCUAGGUUUCUAGAAACUAGGGCUUGUUUUCCAUUAAUUGCACUAGUAAUCGUAAAAUUGUCGUCUUUAUUUUACUUUUCACUUGUUGUUGAUCCCUGCGCGAUUGAUCGAUCAGACGAAACUAAAGAUUCUGAAAUGGCAGGAGGGAAUUUCAUUGGCAGAGUCGUUUCUUACGUCGUUAACGAGCUUGUUGUUGAAACCCUUGCAAAUAGGUAUGUAUAUACUCAUAUAUUCUCUCCAUAUUUCUAUUUUUGUAUGUUAUUUUAUUCUUUAAGACGAUUAUCUAUUUUCGUUUGCUGUAAAUUUUGUUCGGUGAUCAUAGCUUUUCUGGCCGUUGGGACUAAAUGAUUCUGGAUGAGCUUGUUCCCUUCCAGCUAUGGAAGUUUGAGAAAUAGCUGGUUUUUUAUUUUUUUUAUAAUAAAUAUUUUGUACUUCUGAUUGAUGCGGUCAUUCUUAUACUGUAUCCAUAUUUCUAUGGGUCUAAAGUAAUCUGUGUAACAGAAUGAAAGGGGCUAACGGUUGUAGAGAUUGUUAUCUUACAGCAUCUAUGUGUGGACAUUUGUAACAUCUGAACUCUACAUGUAUAUUUAUCUUUUGCCUGUAAUGCCUAGAUGCUUGUACUAAGAAACCUAGAACACAUAAUAUUUAGGGAUUGAACCUGUUUACCUCAUUUUAUGCUUUUACUAGGCUGGAUUGAAUUAACUAAUGAUUUCAUGAUCUCAUUUAUUCAUGUAAUGACUUUAAUUGGUUGAAACAUGGCUGUAAUUUCUCUUGGUGGACUGACCCCGAUGGUGCUCAAUUGUGAUUUUGACAUUAGUCUUGUUUUGCUUUUUCCUGUUAUUCUCGUGAUAUUGUGUGUCCUUCCCUUUUUGUUCUAUACGUCGUCUAGGAAUUGUCGAGCAAAUGAAGGAUAUAUCAAAGAACUUUGAG